UGAAUAGUAGCUCAGUUGGUAGAGCGCCUGACUGUUACUCAGAAUGUCACAGGUUCGAGUCCUGUCUAUUCAG
rnacentral:tRNA from 1 species